ensembl:lncRNA
CCUGGCCCCUAGCACCUGCCCCCUGGCCCUAGCCCCUAACCCUAGCCCUGGCCCUUGGUCCCUGGUCCCUAGCCUCUAGACCCUGUCCAUGGCCCCUAGCCCCUGGUCCCUAGCCCCUGGCCCCUAGACCUUUUCCAUGGCCCCUAGACCCUGGUCCCUGGCCCCUAGACCCUGUCCAUGGCCCCUAGCCCCUGGCCCCUAGCUCCUAGCCCCUAGCCCCUGACCCCUGGCCCCUAGCCCCUAGCCCCUAGCCCCUGAUCCCUGACCCCUGGCCCCUAGCUCCUAGCCCCUAGCUCCUAGCCCCUAGCCCCUGGCCCCUAGCCCCUAGCCCCUGCCCCCUGGCCCCUGACCCCUGGCCCCUAGCCCCUGACCCCUGGCCCCUAGCACCUGCCCCUGGCCCCUAGCCCCUAGCCCCUGGCCCUUAGUCCCUGUUCCCUGGCCCUUUGCCACUAGCUCCUGGCCCCUAGCCCCUGGCCCUUAGUCCCUGGCCCCUGGCCCUUUGCCCCUAGCUCCUGGCCCCUGGCCCCUGACCAGUCUGACUCCCGGCCAGCUGCCCGACGAUGGAGGAGCUGGCCGGGGGUGUGAUGGGUGUGAUGGGGUGUGAUGGGGUGUGAUGGGGUGUGAUGGGGUGAGAUGGGGUGAGAUGGGGUGUGAUGGGGUGUGAUGGGGUGUGAUGGGGUGAGAUGGGGUGAGAUGGGGUGAGAUGGGGUGUGAUGGGGUGAGAUGGGGUGAGAUGGGGUUGUCACGGGGUUGUCACGCCCUGCUGGCCCUCCCCUUCAGGGCCUGCCCACUGCUAGUGAAGGAUGAUGUUUAUGUGUAUAUCCCUGGGAAGAAGACAGCUUCUCACUACUUUUUGCGCUUUGCUGGACAUGUGUGUUGUAUCUAAGAUGAGAUAAGUUCAAUGAUUUGUGUCAAUAAAACUAAACAAAACGAAAAAAAAGCUUAACUGCAACCUCACAGAACACGGUUGAGACCCGAUUCUUUUAUCGCUUCAUGUCGUAUUUCAACAUUAACAACCAUCCUUUAUGCCUUUCGAUGUCCCCAUUGGCCCUACGCCUUCCCUUUCACGAUAUCAUAAACUCGACACUGUGAUGAUACCAUUUGGGAGAAAAGAGGACUUUCCACGCAAUAUAAUCUAUCAUAAUUAUUCCCCCAUCAUAUUCUCGACACAUUCAUUUACAAUUACUGUACGAUAUAAUUAAAGUAUAUUGGUCCAUCUUUUACACUUUGUAUCAGCACAAUUCCCCUCCGAACUCCUCCUCCACCUCUUCCAUCCUGUGCAUCGCUGUCUCUGAGUCCCCGUCCUCUGUAGUCGUCUCAACGCAGCCCCUCUGAUGUUUCAACCCAUGAAUAAAUGAUUGCGUCUAUUCUCCGCCGCCAUCGCUCAGUCCAAACAGAAGCCGGUGGGCGUGGGCACCAGGAUGUGGUGAUGCCGCGAGCGAGGAGGAGAAAGGCUGAACGCACACCAGGGAGAAACGCUAGGGCCCUGAGCGAGCUACACAACUCACUGUCACUCACAGAGCGCAGAAUGCCUGUUCAAGGGAUACGUCUGCAUAUUCGAAGGCCGGUGAAGGGAUUGACCCACUGAGAUUGUUGUGUGCUCCAGUCAGCAUUGAGACAGCCACUCCCAGUCGUUGGACGUUUAUGUUGCAGACUUUAGUUACUUUAUGCAUUUAGGCCUUUUUUUGGAUGUUAUUCUAUCUCAGGCAGACAGACAGAUCCGGCAGAUUCAGUCUGUCCGUCGGCCUGUCCACCUAAGUCUGUCGGUAUGUUUGCAUCAGUCUAUCAAACAGUAUUACUAUUUGUUUGUGUAUCUAACUAAUUGCAGUCAGUCUGCUUAUUAUUAUUAUCAUCCUCAUGCAUAUCAUUCAUCCUAUUUAUUUUCAGUCUCCUGCUUUCCUUUCCUGUCUGUCUCCUAUUGAUUCAAUGCAUUUGACACCAGAAUAAGUUAAAUAGGGCCUGUCUAAUUACCGGGUGCAAUCUGUCCUUCUCAAUGCACCGGAUAUUGCAUGACAUUGCUACUGCAUCGUGGACCAACAAACACACUCAAUAAAAAUUGUGUCCUAGCUUGGCAAGGGCAUACGUCACUUGGCCCUCGAAGGGGACGAAUAAAGUAUUUUGAUUGAUUGGGGGUCUUGGAAGUGGAAGAUCUACAAGGCAAGCAGUAAUACGAUGGUUUGAUGUGAUCACAUCAAACCAGUAUCAGUAUCUUACUCGUAUUUAAGGUCUCAUUGUAUAUACGUCUUAAAUAUUCAAACACAAUGAAACACACACUCACAGGCCAAGGCCAUAAACAAAAUAGAAAAGCACACAAACACACACACUGACGUACACAUACACACACACACACACACACACCUACAGAGACAAGGUUGGGGUUAUGAAGAUAUACCUUUCUGGAGCGAGGUGUUGGACCGAGGGGCCAGAUGCUUCAUCUUAAUCUGUAACGCUAAAUCUCUGGCUGGCCAGAUAAUGGUUGGUGAUGACGAGCGCAGAGGAAGACAGCGCCUCUGCCAAAUGUUUUACUUGGCAGCGGAAGACAAAGGCUGGGCAGUCUGAGUGAAUUUUGAUGAUCACAGUCGAUUUUUUACGGUAUAAAAACUCAUUUUUGUCUCAUUGCAAAUUUGCAGAUGG